rnacentral:lncRNA from 1 species
UUCUUUAAAAAUAUAAUGAAAUGUGGUGUAGACGUGUAAAUAAUGUAUGAAAAUUAGGGUUUCUGAUUUUUUUUUUCAAAUGGGGCAACAGUAGGGAUGACAGAGAAAAUGUUGUUGGAGUGAGAGAGAUGAAAGAGAAAGAGUUGAGAGGAACGAGGUAGGUGAGUAAGGGUUUGGGGUUUUUUUUUUUUGUUUUGAGAAUGAAAAUUAUUUAAAUAUCCUUGACCUUAAAACUUAAAGUCCAUGAUAAAUGAGGGUAU